rnacentral:rRNA from 1 species
GUGCCAGCAGCCGCGGUAAUACGGAGGAUCCUAGCGUUAUCCGGAUUCAUUGGGUUUAAAGGGUGCGUAGGCGGACUGAUAAGUCAGCGGUGAAAUCCCACGGCUCAACUGUGGAACUGCCGUUGAUACUGCCAGUCUUGAAUGCAGAUGAUGUGGGCGGAAUAUGACAUGUAGUGGUGAAAUACUUAGAUAUGUCAUAGAACACCGAUUGCGAAGGCAGCUCACAAAACUGUGAUUGACGCUGAGGCACGAAAGCGUGGGGAUCAAACAGGAUUAGAUACCCCAGUAGUCC